rnacentral:rRNA from 1 species
ACAGCAGUAGCCGCGGGAAUACGUAGGUGGCAAGCGUUGUCCGGAAUUAUUGGGCGUAAGGGGCUCGCAGGCGGUUUCUUAAGUCUGAUGUGAAAGCCCCCGGCUCAACCGGGGAGGGUCAUUGGAAACUGGGAAACUUGAGUGCAGAAGAGGAGAGUGGAAUUCCACGUGUAGCGGUGAAAUGCGUAGAGAUGUGGAGGAACACCAGUGGCGAAGGCGACUCUCUGGUCUGUAACUGACGCUGAGGAGCGAAAGCGUGGGGAGCGAACAGGAUUAGAUACCCGAGUAGUCCCUGUCUCUUAUAC